CGUGUAUCCGAAGCCCUGGACAGCUGCGCACCCGCCUCCGUGCAGCGCCCAACGCCGCCGAACCCGCUGGUGCAGGAGGCGAGAGAGCUGCUGCAGGAGGUGCGUCAAGUCGUGCGUCACUACGACAACCGACCGCGUCACUGCAAGGACCUGCUGGACGCCGGGGACAGCGGCAAGGGCAUUCGC